GAGUUGUUGGUUGCUGAAUUUUUCUGUAACACUUCUAAUUCUGAGUUGUUGAUGGUACUUUACUGGGAAUGAAUAUGUCAAUAUGCAAUUGAGAUACUUGUGCUCUUCAACUGGAUCUAGCUCUGAUU